ACAUGCAAGUCGAACGAUUCUUGUAUUAUAGCAAUAUUAUUAAAGAGGAGUGGCGAACGGGUGAGUAACACGUAGAUAAUCUGCCUUUCAGGACGGGGACAACUCAAGGGAAACUUGUGCUAAUACCCGAUGAGACCACAAGAAGGAUUUUUUGUGGCCAAAGGCGGGCAGCAAUGCUCGUGCUGAAAGAUGAGUCUGCGUCCUAUCAGCUAGUUGGUGGGGUAAAUGCCUACCAAGGCUAAGACGGGUAGCCGGCCUGAGAGGGUGAACGGCCACACUGGGACUGAGACACGGCCCAGACUCCUACGGGAGGCAGCAGUGAGGAAUUUUCCGCAAUGGGCGCAAGCCUGACGGAGCGACGCCGCGUGAGGGAUGAACAGCUUUCGGGUUGUAAACCUCUUUUAUUAAGGAAAAAGAUCUAUAUGCUAAUAUCAUGUAGAUUUGAUGGUACUUAUUGAAUAAGCCCCGGCUAACUACGUGCCAGCCGCAGC
rnacentral:rRNA from 1 species